rnacentral:lncRNA from 1 species
ACAUAAAAUUUUAAUUUUUUUAUAUUAAAAAAAAGUGCUACAAUUGAGUAACAAAGAGAUCAAACUGAAACCCCAAAUUAAGCCUAACCAAACACGAAAUUUUUUGAUUUUGAACAUAGAAAAUUUAUGCUCGAAUUAAAGCAUAAAUUUUUUGAAUAAAUUAUCAUCGAAACAUAGUCUAGGAAUUUGAACAUGUAGGAUGAAUUAUAAUACCAGACACAAAGGUUUGCAACAAAAGGAGAGGGGAGAGAAUCGCCUCUGAAUGUGUGAGACGUGAAAAAGAAAUUGAGAACGCACGGGGACUGGAAUCAGUUAUGGCCGAGGAUGGAAGAUUGAUGAUCGUCUCGUCGGAGAUCAGACGAGUGUUUUCUACUCCGAGAAUGGAUAGGGUUUUGUGAGGGAUUAAGCGUGGCGCUU